rnacentral:lncRNA from 1 species
CACUGGCUAUGGUCACCUGUUCUUCCUUCUGUCUCCCCUUCCGGGAAGGAGAGCGGUGACGUGGCUCAGGAGGCAUAGGCCUUGGUACCUGGCGGGGUUCCCAGGGUUUUCUCUGGGACUUGGCUCCUGCUGUGUACAAUUUCACUGGAUUGCAGCAAAGGAUCAAAGGAGAAAAUUUAAUUUUGCCAGCAAUAAAAUAACUAGGAUCCCUUUCCUGCCUUUCCCUCUGCUUAGCUGAAUUGACGGAAUCCGACUCUUAAGAUGGACCGUGCACUCUGGCACCUUGGGUUUCAGACCUGCACAAGCAGCUGCCCUGUGAGGUGCUCCUGUCCCAGCCCCGUGGCACAGGUUGAAGAGAGAACCCAGAGCCUCCAGAGUGGAUCCCGCAGGCUUUGUGGGCAAUGCCGUGGGAGACCCAUGCCGCAUCCCACAGGGCUUGUGCCCUGAGCAGCCCUACAGCCAUCGUGUUCUAUUUUUUCCCGUCCAGAAGCCACUGGAAGAAUUCCCCUCCAGCUGAGCAUUUCUGUCUUAGCUGGUUGUCUUGGGACUGCUCAUUCUAACCAAAGAGCCAACCAAGGAAAUAUCUGCAUGAACACAAGUCUUCUAAGAGAAAUUCUGGGGUAGCUAGAUGGAUAAAAAUACUCCUGCCUUGAAAUAAAACAGAGUACAGCAGCUUUUUAGACUUAAAUAAAACA